UCAACACAGGUCAGGAUCAUCUAGGCAAGCUUUUUCCUAAAAUUUCAUUGAUUUUUUUUUUAUUAUAACCUAAGGAGGAUUACUCAUAACCCGAGAAAGUUUAAUGGACGACCUAUAUAUCCAUAACCCCAGUCAUCGACUUUUGCCAACGCUUAUUGAGCUACUCAUGUCAAAUAAUCUACUGAGAGAGGUGUUUCCUUCUUUCAUCAAGUCUAGUAAACUAAACUACUGCUUCUUAAAGAUGAUGCAGAGGAGGAGGAGGAGGAACAUGAAGAUGAUACAGAGGAGGAGGAAGAGGAAGAACAUGAAGAUGAUACAGAGGAGGAAGAGGAAGAGGAAGAACAUGAAGAUGCAGAAGAAGAGUAACUAACUGGGACUCAAGCAUUUGUCGGAUUCUUUCCUUUUUGGUCUUCUGGGCCAAUAAACCUAGUUCAAUGAUUGCGAAGUGAAGUGAUCAACCAUCGGGUGAACAAUGCUCCAAUUGGAGCUUAUAUUUUUACGGUUUUGUAGUCAUUAAAAUAAGUGAUUCGUAUUAGCCUA